AACAAUGGACUUUAGCACUGCUGAGGUUUGUGUUCCAGGAUGCUCAUAGAUCACUGAUAAGAUGCAUUCUACAUAUUUAUGUAUUGAUGUUUUGUUUUAUUCUCUCCUCAUCUCAUAUAAAUGUGUCCUGCUGCCCUCCUACCAGCCCCACCACAGUGUUCCUACACUGUGAAGUCCAUCACGUUUGGCCUCCAGAUUGACAUGAGUGACAAGUCCACUGCUGGUAACUACGUCUUAACUCUCACUGAAGAAGGCGAGAGAGAAAUUCAACAGAAGUUUAACAGAAGGUCCUCAAGUCAAAGCUCAGCGCAUGACAUCAAA